rnacentral:rRNA from 1 species
UACGUAGGGCGCGAGCGUUGUCCGGAAUUAUUGGGCGUAAAGAGCUCGUAGGCGGCCGGUUGCGUCUGCUGUGAAAUCCCGGGGCUUAACCCCGGGCGUGCAGUGGAUACGGGCCGGCUGGAGGCAGGCAGGGGAGAAUGGAAUUCCCGGUGUAGCGGUGAAAUGCGCAGAUAUCGGGAGGAACACCGGUGGCGAAGGCGGCUCUCUAGUACGGUACUGACGCUGAGACGCGAAAGCGUGGGGAGCGAACAGG